GGUUCGGUGGUGUAGUGGUUAUCACGUCCGCCUCACACGCGGAAGGACCCCAGUUCGAGCCUGGGUCGAACCA
rfam:Echinococcus multilocularis genomic scaffold, pathogen_EmW_scaffold_05